rnacentral:rRNA from 2 species
UAGGGAAUCUUCGGCAAUGGACGAAAGUCUGACCGAGCAACGCCGCGUGAGUGAAGAAGGUUUUCGGAUCGUAAAACUCUGUUGUUAGAGAAGAACAAGGACGUUAGUAACUGAACGUCCCCUGACGGUAUCUAACCAGAAAGCCACGGCUAACUACGUGCCAGCAGCCGCGGUAAUACGUAGGUGGCAAGCGUUGUCCGGAUUUAUUGGGCGUAAAGCGAGCGCAGGCGGUUUCUUAAGUCUGAUGUGAAAGCCCCCGGCUCAACCGGGGAGGGUCAUUGGAAACUGGGAGACUUGAGUGCAGAAGAGGAGAGUGGAAUUCCAUGUGUAGCGGUGAAAUGCGUAGAUAUAUGGAGGAACACCAGUGGCGAAGGCGGCUCGCUGGUCUGUAACUGACGCUGAGGCUCGAAAGCGUGGGGAGCAAACAGG